UACGAAGGGUGCAAACGUUGCUCGGAAUUACUGGGCGUAAAGGGCUCGUAGGCGGCCAACUAAGUCAGACGUGAAAUCCCCAGGCUCAACCUGGGAACUGCGUCUGAUACUGGAUGGCUUGAAUCCGGGAGAGGGAUGCGGAAUUCCAGGUGUAGCGGUGAAAUGCGUAGAUAUCUGGAGGAACACCGGUGGCGAAGGCGGCAUCCUGGACCGGCAUUGACGCUGAGGCGCGAAAGCUAGGGGAGCAAACGGG
rnacentral:rRNA from 1 species